UACGUAGGGGCCUAGCGUUGUCCGGAAUUAUUGGGCGUAAAGAGCUCGUAGGCGGUUCGGCAAGUCGGAUGUGAAAUCUCCACGCUUAACGUGGAGGGGCCAUUCGAAACUGCUGUGACUAGAGUCCGGUAGGGGAGUGUGGAAUUCCCGGUGUAGCGGUGAAAUGCGCAGAUAUCAGGAGGAACACCAAAGGCGAAGGCAGCUCGCUGGGACGGUACUGACGCUGAGGUGCGAAAGCGUGGGGAGCGAACAGG
rnacentral:rRNA from 1 species